rnacentral:rRNA from 1 species
AGCCUACCCUAGCCCCAUCCCACUACAAAUCAAGAACCCACUACCCAACAAAACUAAAACAUUAUUCCUAAGCUUAGUAUAGGUGAUAGAAAAGCACCAGCCUGGGCGCUAUAAAGAAAUGUACCGUAAGGGAAAGCUGAAAUAACAAUGAAAACUAAGCAACAUAUAGCAAAGAUAAACCCUUGUACCUUUUGCAUCAUGAUCUAGCAAGAACAAAACAAGCAAAACGAAUUUAAGCUUGCCACCCCGAAACCCAUGCGAGCUACUUACAAGCAGUUAUCUAUGAACGAACCCGUCUCUGUUGCAAAAGAGUGGGACGACUUGUUAGUAGAGGUGAAAAGCCAAUCGAGCUGGGCGAUAGCUGGUUGCCUGUGAAAUGAAUUUAAGUUCCCUCUUAACCUUACUUCCUCGGCAUCCAACUCAACCUUCAUGUAACGAGUUAAGAGCUAUUUAAAGGGGGUACAGCCCCUUUAAAAAAGGAUACAACCUCUACCAGCGGAUAACUUCACCCUCACCUCAAACCCGUUGGCCUUAAAGCAGCCACCCUUAAAGAGUGCGUCAAAGCUCAUCAACCAAAAAAUCCAAAAACAACAUGACUCCCUACAUCCCUAACAGGCUAACCUAUAAUCUAUAGAUGAAUNNNNNNNNGAACGAGUAACCAGGACANNNNNNUCCCCUUAAGCGCAAACCUACCUCACUGCAUUAACAGUACAACAGCCAAUACCAAAACCCUCAACACGAGCCCAAAUAUUGAACCUACCCUGUCAACCCAACCCAGGAGCGCAUAUCUAGGAUGAUCAAAACCCACAAAAGGAACUCGGCAAACCUAAGGCCCGACUGUUUACCAAAAACAUAGCCUUCAGCCAGACAAGUAUUGAAGGUGAUGCCUGCCCAGUGACACCACGUUUAACGGCCGCGGUAUCCUAACCGUGCGAAGGUAGCGCAAUCAAUUGUCCCAUAAAUCGAGACUUGUAUGAAUGGCUAAACGAGGUCUUAACUGUCUCCUGUGGGUAAUCAGUGAAACUGAUCUCCUUGUACAAAAGCAAGGAUAAGCACAUAAGACGAGAAGACCCUGUGGAACUUUAAAAUCAAUAGCCACUACACACUAAACCUAAAGCCCACCAGGCCCACCAUCCUAUAAAUACUGGCUAAUAUAUUUAGGUUGGGGCGACCUUGGAGAAAAACAAACCCUCCAAAAAUAAGACCAAGCCUCCUAACCAAGAGCAACCCCUCAACGUGCUAACAGCAACCAGACCCAAUACAAUUGACCAAUGGACCAAGCUACCCCAGGGAUAACAGCGCAAUCUCCCCUAAGAGCCCCUAUCGACGGGGAAGUUUACGACCUCGAUGUUGGAUCAGGACACCCUAGUGGUGCAGCCGCUACCAAGGGUUCGUUUGUUCAACGAUUAAUAGUCCUACGUGAUCUGAGUUCAGACCGGAGUAAUCCAGGUCGGUUUCUAUCUAUGAUUAGCCCUUCCUAGUACGAAAGGACCGGAAAGGCAAGGCCAAUACCACAAGCACGCCCUCCCUUUAAGUGAUGUAUUCAACUAAAUCACCAAAAGGCCACAACCUACCUUCUAGAAAAGAACC